rnacentral:rRNA from 1 species
CCUGGCUCAGGACGAACGCUGGCGGCGCGCCUAACACAUGCAAGUCGAACGAGAGAUGAGGAGCUUGCUCUUCAAAUCGAGUGGCGAACGGGUGAGUAACGCGUGAGGAACCUGCCUCAAAGAGGGGGACAACAGUUGGAAACGACUGCUAAUACCGCAUAAGCCCACGGCUCGGCAUCGAGCAGAGGGAAAAGGAGCAAUCCGCUUUGAGAUGGCCUCGCGUCCGAUUAGCUAGUUGGUGAGGUAACGGCCCACCAAGGCGACGAUCGGUAGCCGGACUGAGAGGUUGAACGGCCACAUUGGGACUGAGACACGGCCCAGACUCCUACGGGAGGCAGCAGUGGGGAAUAUUGCACAAUGGGGGAAACCCUGAUGCAGCGACGCCGCGUGGAGGAAGAAGGUCUUCGGAUUGUAAACUCCUGUUGUUGAGGAAGAUAAUGACGGUACUCAACAAGGAAGUGACGGCUAACUACGUGCCAGCAGCCGCGGUAAAACGUAGGUCACAAGCGUUGUCCGGAAUUACUGGGUGUAAAGGGAGCGCAGGCGGGAGAACAAGUUGGAAGUGAAAUCCAUGGGCUCAACCCAUGAACUGCUUUCAAAACUGUUUUUCUUGAGUAGUGCAGAGGUAGGCGGAAUUCCCGGUGUAGCGGUGGAAUGCGUAGAUAUCGGGAGGAACACCAGUGGCGAAGGCGGCCUACUGGGCACCAACUGACGCUGAGGCUCGAAAGUGUGGGUAGCAAACAGGAUUAGAUACCCUGGUAGUCCACACCGUAAACGAUGAUUACUAGGUGUUGGAGGAUUGACCCCUUCAGUGCCGCAGUUAACACAAUAAGUAAUCCACCUGGGGAGUACGACCGCAAGGUUGAAACUCAAAGGAAUUGACGGGGGCCCGCACAAGCAGUGGAGUAUGUGGUUUAAUUCGACGCAACGCGAAGAACCUUACCAAGUCUUGACAUCCCUUGACGAUGCUGGAAACAGUAUUUCUCUUCGGAGCAAGGAGACAGGUGGUGCAUGGUUGUCGUCAGCUCGUGUCGUGAGAUGUUGGGUUAAGUCCCGCAACGAGCGCAACCCUUAUGGUCAGUUACUACGCAAGAGGACUCUGGCCAGACUGCCGUUGACAAAACGGAGGAAGGUGGGGAUGACGUCAAAUCAUCAUGCCCUUUAUGACUUGGGCUACACACGUACUACAAUGGCGUUAAACAAAGAGAAGCAAGACCGCGAGGUGGAGCAAAACUCAGAAACAACGUCCCAGUUCGGACUGCAGGCUGCAACUCGCCUGCACGAAGUCGGAAUUGCUAGUAAUCGUGGAUCAGCAUGCCACGGUGAAUACGUUCCCGGGCCUGUACACACCGCCC